rnacentral:lncRNA from 1 species
GUUGCAAUUUGCUUAGGUUUUGUGAACAUUCCCUCUCUGAAUUUCCAGGCACUUCCAUUGGCAUUAGUGAAGAAGGAGGAGCCAGCUGUCAAGAACAAUGGGGACAAAGGUGCCAAGAAACGUCCAGCCUCCCCAAAGUUGGCCUCGUCGCCCUCUCCUCCACCCACUGGUCGUAAAUCAACCACUUUGAGACGUGAAGAACUGUUGAAGCAGCUGAAGGCAGUUGAAGAUGCCAUCGCCCGCAAGCGAGCCAAAUUUAGCUAGCCUUCUGUGGCUUCUCCCAUCAAAUCGCUCAUUUUUUUCCCCACCACAAGUAAUCCUGUGUAAAUAAAUGGAUUCUUCUGUUACAAUGUCAAAA